AUGAUGAUGAUGAUGAUACCUCCAGUCGAUUAUAGGGUUGUGUUUUAGUCUUUGCCCCUGGCAUGCUGGUUUUUCUUUAACGCACAGCGAUUAUAUUUAUUUAUUUUUUGUAAUGUUACAGCCCAACGCGGGCAGGUGCAGCAGGUUUAACAUCUCAGUGAGAACCAGGCCUCCCCGCCGUCACCGGCUGAUGGAAUCGAGCCGCUCAAAUUGUUUUUAUAAAGAGAUUCUGUAUGAAGAAGAGCUGCUGAUAUUCUUGACGAUAGAGGCUACAGCUUCUGGAGAGAGAAAAAACCUGCAGUUUCCAAAACUGUAAUGGAGAUCAGAGCCCUGUAUUUCAAUACCAUAGAGUACCUGAGUAUGCACUUUGCUACCAAAUAUUUUAAGGGCAGGUUCAAUCAGCUGCCCUCCCUCAUCAAUGCCCCUAUGGUUUUAUGCGCUUUGACUUUCACUGCCUCCAUACUGCCAAGUGUCCAAUGGGGUUUCAUUAACGAGUAUACCCACGUA